CCUACGGGAGGCAGCAGUGGGGAAUAUUGGACAAUGGGGGCAACCCUGAUCCAGCCAUGCCGCGUGUGUGAAGAAGGCCCUCGGGUUGUAAAGUACUUUCAGUGAGGAAGAACGCCUGGUGGUUAAUACCCAUCAGGAAAGACAUCACUCACAGAAGAAGCACCGGCUAACUCCGUGCCAGCAGCCGCGGUAAUACGGAGGGUGCGAGCGUUAAUCGGAAUUACUGGGCGUAAAGCGCGCGUAGGUGGCUUGAUAAGCCGGUUGUGAAAGCCCCGGGCUCAACCUGGGAACGGCAUCCGGAACUGUCAAGCUAGAGUGCAGGAGAGGAAGGUAGAAUUCCCGGUGUAGCGGUGAAAUGCGUAGAGAUCGGGAGGAAUACCAGUGGCGAAGGCGGCCUUCUGGACUGACACUGACACUGAGGUGCGAAAGCGUGGGUAGCAAACAGGAUUAGAUACCCUAGUAGUC
rnacentral:rRNA from 1 species